UUUAAAAUUUUGAAAACAUAAUUUUGAUUUUUAGUGUUCAAAUUAGUUUAAUUUUGUUUUAUUUAUUUAUAGCAUUCAUUCCAAUUUUAAUAGUCUUGACAUUUUAUUAUUGUUAUAAUUGAAAAGAUAAAGCUGAGGAAAACAUUAAAACCAAAAUCCCUAAAAUUUUGGUGCCAACACUCCUCUGAUCAUGGACGGGUUCCCUCCUUAUUCCCCGCUGGUUUGGGUUCCCUUAUUCUUCUAUCAGUUCUUAGGGUUUUUGAAGCAAAUCAAUUUCAAAGAAAACUGAAGAGCAUUGCGACAACACAAGCAAACCCCAAAAAAACCCUAGAUUUCUCGAUACAAAUUCCAGGGACUUCGAACCUUUCGAAGAUCAUCGCUUAGCACCGCCACUGUUAAGUUGUGAUAUGUGAAACUUCUGCAACAUGUGGUGUGCUGUGUAUACAACUAAGGAAGUGAAUGGUUUGCGGAAUGUGGGUGAAGUUGCACAUGUCGGGCAUGCAUGUUGAAGGGAAGGUAACAACUAGUAUAUUCUUAUUUUCAGACUAG